GACGAACGCUGGCGGCGUGCUUAACACAUGCAAGUCGAACGGAAAGGCCCUGCUUUUGUGGGGUGCUCGAGUGGCGAACGGGUGAGUAACACGUGAGUAACCUGCCCUUGACUGGGGGAUAACUUCAGGAAACUGGGGCUAAUACCGGAUAGGAGCUCCUGCUGCAUGGUGGGGGUUGGAAAGUUUCGGCGGUUGGGGAUGGACUCGCGGCUUAUCAGCUUGUGGGUGGGGUAGUGUCUUACCAAGGCUUUGACGGGUAGCAGGCCUGAGCGGGUGACCGGCCACCACGGUACUGAGAUGACGCGGCCAAGACUCCGGCGGGAAGCAGCAGGGAAUAAUGCACCACAGUCGGCAACCUCCUGACGCAGCGACGCCGCGGGGAUGAAGGACGUCGACGUGUCGUGCACUUCUGCUCCCGAAGAAGAAGCAAUGACGGUAAUUGGUAAAUAAGCAUCGGCUAACUCCGUG
rnacentral:rRNA from 1 species